rnacentral:sRNA from 22 species
CGUGAUGCAGGCGGCCCUCCCGGGGGCGCGUGCGGAUACGGCGAUGCUCCUCCUCCAGUCGCUGUUCGGUUCUGUUGAAACGCCUGCCGCAUCUCCUCGCGCGGCAGGCUUUCUUU